rnacentral:lncRNA from 1 species
AAAAAAAUUGAAGCAUACAUGUGUGUUAGAGAAAAGUUGAUAUUAAUGGGUGAGUAAUCUAAUUCAAUUUGGGGUAAGCCUAUUUAUAGAGCUUCUUUAAGUACCAUGCUGAUUUGGAAGUGACAGUUGGUAUCAGUUGGCUCCGUGACACAUCAUGUCGACUCCCCCGAGCGAACCUAUAUCCCUCGAUCGAGGUCCACCACUCGAGUUGCUUGAAGAAAUAAAAAACUCCAAAAAACAUAUUGAUUCUUCGAUCCAUCAAACUUUAGUGUUUGUGCUUAUCAUGUAAUUAGUUAUCUUCUCUCAACUACUUGGUUAAUUUUUCACCAUUUGAAGGCAAGAAAAAGCGAAGUAGGGGAACGGAAUUGCAAAUUCGCAAGUAUGAAUAGGGGACGUUCAAGAACUUACCGUCAUAGAUAGGAAAAAUCCUUAAAUGAUAUUAGUACAUUGUACAACUAAUUAAUCUAGUUGAAGAGAGGCUAAGUGGUCCCACUCAAGUAGCACCGCCCUUGUACAACAUAAGAUGCACAUUCAAAUACUACCUUAGUGACACCUCACAUAUAAAAUAACCUAAAACAAGGGUUUGGUUCGUCUAAAACUAGGGUGUCCACAAAACCAAGAUUUUAUUUAAGACACCGGAGUCUAACCAUAUUUUCCAUCACAAAACCUUCCAAUUAUGCAGCCGGAGCAUAGUCGUAGUCACCAUCGUCGUCGUCGUCGUCUCCAUCCCCAUCUUCGGCUUUUAAUAUCCGCAUAUUAUGAAGAUGGCUAUAAAGAAUACUGCUAUCUCCAUGAAGAUUGAGGAGCGGCUUGUACUCGAAACCAACAAUCUCUAAGAAAGAAAUCAUUUUAUAAUUCUAAUUCUAAAAAAAUGAGGCAAGGCGAAAAUUCAGACACUUUGCAAUGGGGAGAAAAUUAAAGGCGUGGUGUAAAGUUAUAUAUAGAGGGGUUUUUGCCCUAAUGUAGCAGCCAUAAAAGGUAAACCCGUGGGAAGGUGUGCCGAAAUGGCUUAGGAGUGCGCAUCAAACGUGAAAAUAUGUGUCAAAGUGGUGUCUAG